UACGUAGGCGGCAAGCGUUGUCCGGAAUUAUUGGGCGUAAAGAGCGUGUAGGCGGCCAGAUAAGUCCGCUGUGAAAUCUCGAGGCUCAACCUCGAGACGUCGGCGGAAACCAUCUGGCUAGAGUCCGGAAGAGGAGAGUGGAAUUCCUGGUGUAGCGGUGAAAUGCGCAGAUAUCAGGAAGAACACCCGUGGCGAAGGCGGCUCUCUGGGACGGUACUGACGCUGAGACGCGAAAGCGUGGGGAGCGAACAGG
rnacentral:rRNA from 1 species